GUGCCAGCAGCCGCGGUAAUACGUAGGGUGCGAGCGUUGUCCGGAGUUACUGGGCGUAAAGAGCUCGUAGGCGGUUUGUCACGUCGUCUGUGAAAUCCCUCGGCUUAACCGGGGGCGUGCAGGCGAUACGGGCAGACCUGAGUACUACAGGGGAGACUGGAAUUCCUGGUGUAGCGGUGAAAUACGCAGAUAUCAGGAGGAACACCGGUGGCGAAGGCGGGUCUCUGGGUAGUAACUGACGCUGAGGAGCGAAAGCAUGGGCAGCGAACAGGAUUAGAUACCCUGGUAGUCCAUGCCGUAAACGGCGGGCGCUAGGUGUGGGGUCCUUCCACGGACUCCGUGCCGUAGCUAACGCAUUAAGCGCCCCGCCUGGGGAGUACGGCCGCAAGGCUAA
rnacentral:rRNA from 1 species